rnacentral:rRNA from 1 species
UGUUUUCUUUAAUCAAGAACGAAAGUCGGAGGUUCGAAGGCGAUCAGAUACCGCCCUAGUUCCGACCUUAAACCAUGCCGUCCGACCGCCCGCCAGGGUUACUACCGCGACUCGGCGGGCGGUGACUUUCCACCGGGAAACCCUUAAGCUUUCGGGUUCCGGGGGAAGUACGGUCGCAAAGCUGAAACUUAAAGGAAUUGACGGAAGGGCACCACCAGGAGUGGAGCCUGCGGCUUAAUUUGACUCAACACGGGGAACCUCACCCGGCCCGGACACCGCGAGGAUUGACAGAUCGAUAGCUCUUUCUCGAUCCGGUGGGUGGUGGUGCAUGGCCGUUCUUAGUUGGUGGAGCGAUCUGUCUGGUUAAUUCCGAUAACGAACGAGACUCUAGCCGGUUAAGUAGCCCGAGUGGCGUGUUGUUGAUUUAAAAACCGCCCUAGCGGCAUUCGGGGUGCUUUGCGGAAGCUGUCUGGCUUUAACGGUGGUGGGACGGGGAGGUGGAAGACGACGGUUUUAGCCGCGUGCGUCGCGGCUGGGAUCUAGUUUUUUUAACUUCCCUUUAAUCCUGUCUCGUUUCGGCCUNUCACUUUUGUGGGCCUCUGUUUGCUUAGCUGGGGUAGAUAAAACGCUAACGAGAGUCGGGGGCAGUGGACGUUACUCGUGGAAUGGGUGGGCGCUCCUUAGUGGUGCGUCCCUCUUCCCGGUUUCGCUCUUCUGCUUUCCUCGUCGUCUCGCGCCACCGGCUUUCGAGUGCAAAAGCUUCUUAGAGGGACGAGCGGCGUUCAGCCGCGCG